AAGCUGAAAAUCUAGAGGCUCGGGUGGACAUGACUGGUGGAGAAAUCCCUCGUGCACGCAGCGCUGCAAUGGACAAUACCUGCUUAUUAGUCACACUGGCUAUCGAGUCCUGACUGGCUCCUUCGCGGCAUCAGAACCACUGUAUUUUUCUUAGAAAUGGUGAUGUGCACCAUCACGAGGGAAGCAGGGCGCCGCGUGAGCUCUCUGGGAACCUUAGAAGGAAGGCAGGCAGGAAGGCAAGGGAGGAGGGGCUCAGUCUGAAGGGAUCUGACAAAGCGAAAGCCCAACUGGACCGCUCAGCACAGCUCCCUGUCAGCAGUCCGGUGAAACCACUGACAAACUUCUGCUCCCGCCUUCCGAACUCCCCGCCGCAGGCGCAGCGCCUGAACUGCAGACCGCUGCCGCUGUACCGCUCCCCUCGUACCGCUACCUCCAACUUCCAGCCCCGGCCUCCGCCACGCACGGCCCGGCCCGGCCCGGGGGGCAGUACGGAGCGGCGGGAGCCGGACCCGCCUCUUCGCCCCGCCCCAUCCCGCGGAGGGUUCGGCCCGGGGACUCCGACAAUACGGGAGACCGUGUCCUUCCGCUUCUCGCCGGAGCCGACGGCCGCUGGCUCCGCCUCUACGCGGGAAGCGACUCGCUGGCUCGCCGCGCAAGGCUCGGAGCAACGACUAGUAAGAAGCUCCUGCUCUUUCAGUGGGCGCUACACAUUUGUCUGAAGAAUUGUGCUCACAAGAUUGCUGAAAAACCUGUUGCCAUCUGCACUUGCUCUCAAUUUGAACCGGUGGACUGUGUUCCCUGGUGAAUCACAGAAACUUAUUGACAGGAAAUAUCCAGUGUAAUACUAGCAGUCUGAACCCUUUAGCUUGGAUGCAAAAUUGUGUUUUCUCAUCUAAGAUUCCUGCAUUGCUUGUUUUGGGUCUUCGCUGAAGAAAAAAAGAAAUUAGGAGAAGAUGGACUGGAAUGGCAGGCCAUUCCAGAAUGCUGAUGCAAAUAAGAACAUGCAAAGUGCGGAAACGCGUUAUCCUCAGUUGCUUUCUACUGCACAGGGUUUUCCUCAAACAAAUGCUUGUUCCUCUAAAAAUGCAUGUACUUAUGCUGGAAAUAACCAAAUGCUGUAUCUGCCUACUAGCAAUGUUACCUUUCCUCUUGUAAAUGCUGAAGGAUUCAGAACUUCAGAUCAGGUCUUACCAGGAGCAUCUGUAGCUGGUAAGGACUUUCGAAUCUCAAAAUACUCAGUUGAUCAACAUCCAUCAUCCUGGGCACCAAUAGGUCCAAAACUGCCCAAUCAGACAUCACGUUUGCGGGCAGAGAUGACUCAGACUUCUUGGCCAGACUCUAAUGCCCCCAUUUACAGAACAUUGCCUUCUGUGUCUUCUCAGAUGAACUCUGGAAGUAAUAUGAAGAAUGUAGUUUGGGAAUCUCAGUAUGUAACCACAAAUAGUUACACUGUGCAUCCACAAAUACCACAUCAAAAUUCCAUGAGAACUACAAUGUUAUAUCAAAGUAACACUAAUUCCCAGAAUAAUCCUAUUAUUGGUAUACCUGGACAACAUGUCCAAAACCAAAUAUGUCAUUCCAACACUCAGUUUAAGGUUUCACACUCACUGAAUCAAAAUACUGAAGCAAAUGUACAGAUAGUACAUUAUAGAGCAAGUCAGAUGGGAUCAGAAGCUCCUGGCAACUGUUCUGCACAGUCUUUGAUGCUUGCCAACUGUGAUUCAAGGAAUGCAGCACAGUCUUCAGUAGUUGCACCACAGGCAGGUCAAAAUGUACCUAAUGGAUACAUCAUUAGCCAACGGAGGCACCCAUCAGAUAUGAAAAAUGCUUCUGGUUUUAACAGUGUUCAGCAACACUAUCAGAAACUGCAACCUGGAGAAGUCAAUCAUUCACUUGGGAAUGUCUACAAUUCAAACGGAAAUGUGACAGCAAAUCAAUCUUUGAAUGCAAUGUCUGUGCCACCCCCUGACAUUUCCAAAGAACUGGAUGAUGUUAUACAAGAACUGGAAACUCUUUCCUCUGUGACUGCUUCAAAGACACUGAGUAAUCCUGCUUCAGUUCAGGAAAGCCAGACUACUAGUUUAAUGAAUAGGCCUGUUAAUUCUCAAGUUUCUUCAUUAGUAGUAGAAAAAAUGAAAAGGGCAAGGGACAGACUAGCUUGGGAAGCUCAAAAUCUGCUCACUAUUAAAAAAAAAUGUGUCCUGCUUGAAAAGUUGCAUCAUUACAAAAGAAAACUCUUAGCAGCUUCAGAACAUAACAACCUCCGAGUACCUCCGAGUUAUCAAGAAGCAUUUGCUAAUCGUCUUUCGUGGGUGCCCAACCCAAAUGUACCGCUAUCUCCAUCUAAAACAUUGAGGAUAGAGAAUCCAGUACGUUCCUCUUCACCUGAAGAAAGAAAUGCCAAUGAUGUAGCCAAUGCUGAUAACAGAGAAUUAGAAAUUACUCAAAGUAACCUUCAGGUGGAGCAGAGAAGCCUUUCAUUGAGCUCUGCUUCUUCAUCUAGCUCCACUCCUUCAUUUUGCUCUGCUCCUUCAUUGAAUUCUGCUUCAUCAAGUUCUGCUCCUUCGUCAAGUUCUGUUCCUUUGUCGAGUUCUCCUCUGCUGAGUUCUGAUCCUUCAUCGAGUUUCACUUCUUCAUCGAAUUUCACUCCUUCACUGAGCUCUGCUCCUCCAUCGAGUUUCACUCCUUCAUUGAGCUCAGCUCCUUUGUCGAGCUUUGGUCCUUCAUCAAGCUCUGCACCUCCUCCCUCUCAGAGCAAACUCCCAGCUCAAUUAAAUAGUCUAGAGAGCACUCCCAGCUCAGAACAAAAGGACACAUGUGCCUUGACCUCGUCUCAAAAAGAUGUGACGUCCUUGAAUAAGGGUUCAUGUUUUAGUCUAGUAGAUGGCGGUGUCAAAAUUGCAUCAAAGGAUGUGCCAGGUAACUCAUCAUUUCUGCAGUUUGUAUUGAGCAGUGCAAAUGUAUUGAAAGAGAAGACAGCUGGUGCUACUGCUGAUAAAAUACUGACUGGUCUCCUGUGUAGUGAAAAACCAAUGAUAGAUACGACAGUCUCAGAUAAAAGCUCACUAAAAGACACUAGUGAGAAGAAAACAGAAAGUAAGAAAGGGGAGCAGCCAUUUAUGGUUCACACAAACUCUCCUGUAUCAGAAGCAACAGAAUCUGGUGGAGCCAAUUUCCAGGGUGAUGUAGCUCAGAAGAAAACACUACUUACUGAAAAGACAUCGUCAAAACAGAACAAUGGUAGUUACACUAUGGAAGAGUUAACUGCGUGUCUGGGCUUGUGGAGAAACUCUGGCCCAUCGGAGACCAUAAGUGUGCAAAAUAGCCAGUUAAAUGGAAGCUCCACAGCAAAUCAGAUUUCAUCUUACAGCCAAACCACAAAAAAUGGAGAACAAAACAAUGUUCCAGUUAGUACAGUUGGAGAAAUUUUGCCUGUAACAAGCGCUUCUCCAGGACAGAAACUCGAUACGAUGAGUUGCAAUUUGUUAAAAAGUUUUGAACUCCAAGUUGCAGUUGUUACUCCUUUAGUACUUUUGGAACAGAGAACCCAGAAUCAGCAGAUAGACAAAUGUCCAGCAUCCGUAGGUAAAAUGACUGCAGUGACUGACUCGAGAAGCACAUGUAGCUUGCAAGAAGCAGGGAAAAAUGAAUUAGGUGUAGUAAAUACCGAUAAAGCAACAAUAGCAUCACCCAGUAAUUGUGUUCUGGCACAGAAGGUAGACACAAAUUUGCAGCAGACAAAAUUAGCUGAUGAAAAUGGAAUAAUAAAAAACAGUGCAAAUGCAAAUGAUUUGUAUGGUGAAAACCAAAGUAAAGUUAGUAAACCUGCACAAGAUGCCAGAGAAAAUCCGCAAAACAAGCCUUCUUUUCCUGAAUUGGGCAUAAAUCCUUCUAGUGAAAUCUUUCAAGAAGUUGCAAGAGACCAUAAAGACAGGCAAGCUGUGUUAGAAACAGGAUAUACAUCCACAGCUGUGUUGGAAGACCAGAUGUUUUGUAUUACUAGUGUAUGUUCUCUUGUUGAAGGUGAUACAUCUUACAAUCCACAAAUAGCAAGUAUCUUCAAGCCAGUCCCUGAGCUGGAUGCAUUAAAUGGUACCAUGUCAGAAGGAAAUGCAUCUGACCCAGAGCAAAAGGAGCAGCAGCAGGUCUUUUCUAGAAACAAGCUGAGCAGUAACACUCCUCAAAGAGACAGCUUGCUGCUAAAGAUAUUGGACACAUCAUCAAACUGCAAGAGUAAAGCAGGUAAUAAUUUGGAUUGUAGCACAACUAGUAAUUUGAAGAAACAAAGCAGUGGCGGUCCUCCUAACACAGUUUCUGCCUCAAAACAAAAUAGGCCACUCAUUGCAUCUUUCAAGCAUCCUAAAACUUACUUGAAAGGUCCUACUCAUACAAGGCAAGAGUUGGCUCUCAAUUCACCAAUUUCCUCAAGCAGCCUAACUGCUGAAACUGCGGGUGUCAACAGUGAACAGAAUUACGUGUGCUGUAAAAAUAGCACAGAAAAAGAGGAGAACUUCUUUGGAGCACGACCUAUAAAAUAUCUAAACAAUCAGUUGUAUGAACUAGUGAAAGAGUUUCCAUAUGGCAUUGAAGGUGCUGAUAUACUAACAAAAGAACCAGUCCAAAAUAAUUCUGUGGCAGAGAGAAUGGAGAAUCAACCUCAAAAAGAGACUCAGAUUUGUGACAAGAAUUCUCAUUUGAAUGACCCAGUAGAUCAGAUAAAAAUUGAGGUAUUAAGCUCUGAUCAGGUGCAAGAACUGUUUCCUGAACACAGCCAGUGUUCAUCUAAUGAGAAGAAGAGUGUAGGGAGUCAGCAGUCAGAAAAGGCUUCAGCUGAGGAGAAUCAUGAAGGCAAUAUUCAGCCUAGCCAGAGUCUAUUUGAGAAGAAAAAGAAUACACAAGACCCCUCCAGCCCCACGGUAAAAAAAACCGACGAUUGUUCUUUGAUGAGUUCUCCGUCUGUAGCUUGUGAAAUGCCACCCUGGAAAUCUGAAAUGUCUGUUUCAGAGAAAAAUGAUGAUCAACUUUCAAAAUUCAAAAAUACUAGCUCUACAGAGACACUGGAUAACAACAGUGAAAUUGAUGCUGUAAUGGAGAACUGUGCAGUGGGAAACUUGCCAAAUUCUGAAAAAACACCAAACAGUGAUAGCGAAAACAAUAUUUGCAAAAACACCUCUCCAGUGGACAAAAAACCCAGUCUAAAGGUGAAUAAUGAACACAAACUGCUUACAAGACAACAGGAAAAAUAUGAACCACUUAAUUCCUCUGAAAACCAGGAUGUCGAUAAAACUAGGAAGAACAGCUGGAAGGAAGAGACGCAGAUCAACAGAGGAAGUCCAUUGUUAGACAAAGAGUUUCAUUCUGACAAAAAAGAACAUCAGACAGCCACAGAAGAGUUGUCAGAGAGAGCUGGCCAUACAGAUGCAGCUGACACGACAAACUCAUCCAAAAAGAAAAAGAGGCUUUUCAAAAGGGAGUCCCUUUCAAAAGAUAAAACCAAAACAGGUUUGGCCAUGAAAUUCCAAGGUGUUCGUAAGUCAGAAACUGUUGAAGGUAAGCACGAUAAAGUUAAUCAAGGACAAAAAAAUGAAACCUGUAAAGAGAACUCAGCUGAAGAACAGAUCUGUAGGAAGCAAAAGGAGAUACCCAGACAAGAUGUAGGAGUUCACAUCAAAGAUAAAGGCAAAUUGUCAGCAGAAAUAAAACAUACAAAACUGAAUAGUUAUCGUGAUGAUGCUGUAAAGUUCCCAAAUGUUGCGACCGUAGACUUAAAGGCAAGAAACCACAAAUACCCUCAGCAUAAAUGUAUCAAAGUUCAUCCGUCACAGGAGCAGCCGUACAAACGGAAAAGGAAGGAAACUAUGAUUGGGAAGAGAGACCCUAAGAAAUCAAAGGUAGAAGAGGAAAGCCUGAAACAAUCUGAAGCAAAGAAUUCCCAGCAGCUUCCACAUAAUUGUGUGAUAAAUACUGACAAAGCUAAAAAACUGAAUGGAGAAAAUGGCUGGAAACCGAGGACUUCAUUAGCAGAUCAUGCUGUCCUUAAACUGCAGAGAAAAAGAGGUCGACCUUCUACCAUCUCUAAAAACUACUUUUCUAACAGAGACAAACAUCUUGAGGGUCAAAACAAAGACAAGGGCUCUGAGAGGAUGUUUUCUGAUAAAAAUAUGCUAUACUUCAAUAGAAGAAAUAACAGAUUGAAAUUUCAUCUUCAAAAGGAACCAAAAAAACACUACCUGAACAGAGUUGCGUUUAAACGUAUGGCACAGGAACGAAUAUACCUGACAAAGUUAGAGACAUCACCUGUCAGACCCAUCUGCCAUAGAAAGUCCAAAGUGUCCCAAAACAGCCCUGAUGCGAAAAGACGCGCUUCUGCCUCAGAAGUCGAGAAGUCAUGCGAACCGCAAGCACUUGAGUUUAAGCUGUAUCCAGAGAUGCUGUUGAGAAAUCCAGCCACCGAUGAAGAAAACUUAGCUGCAAAGAACUCCUCGGAAAGAGAAAAGGCCAUUGUGGCAGGUGUCAAGAGUAAAAAAGAAGAUUGGUUAAAAAGUGAUCCAGUGAAGCAAAAAAAAUUGGAAGAGAUCUUCACAGGGAUGAGUGAGCAGGCAGUGGAUCACCACAAAUUUAAAGAGGAAGAUUACUACGCCUUGAAGGAACAAUGCACUUCUCUGUGAAAGCAGUGCACAAGAAGGUAAAGAACACCAAAUCCACUCCUUGCCCACUUCCAGCAGGUUACAUUACCACGUAGUUGGGUGUCCUCCAGUCCUAGGCAUGUUUUAGCUUCCAGGAUGCCCAGAAGCUGUGAGUGCUCAAUGUGUAAUGUUGUCUAUAACCAUGGCAAAAGGGCUGUUUGUUCUGCAAAAGGAAAAAGGUGGCAGAAGCAUGGGCAUGAAAAAAUCAUCACAUGAUUGAAUCUGCUCAAGGAUUGUUAAGCUCCUUUCACAAGCAGAGCUCAAAAAAACCCCAGUUGCGCCUACUGUAUUUUUCAUACCAUGAGCUUAUGUUUUCACGCCCCCUGAGGCUUUCUUUGUUGUGUAGCAGUAGAGAAACCUCUGCCAGGGGAUGGGAUGGCAGCUUCUGUUCCUGUGGUUGACUGUCCAGUUUUCCUACAAGCAAAGAACCCAAAAGAAUUAUCAGUACUUGAUUUCCUCUCAAGGCUGUGUCCACCACUUCUCAUCUUUCUUAAUAAUUCCAUUUUCCUAUCCCUGUGUGAAAAACAUGUAAGUUUCUUCCUUUGUUAGCAUACCUGAAAUGGAGAGGUUUCCUUUUUGCUUAUUUUUUGUAGCAUUUAGCAGUACAGUGGACACUUAAAACUACCAUUAUGACUUUUACUAAUGAUAAUUUACCGAGGCAACACUUCUACUAAAUUAAACCAAAGCAUACCAGUUGGAAAAUAGUCUAGUGGGACAGAGCUCAGAAAUGAGCAGGCUGCACAUCAGGAUCUCCCCUUGAGUAGGGACACCUCUCAAGGUUACUCCUUGAUGUUAAGAGAAUCUUUUUUGCGUCAGAUAAUGAGUAAGUGAAUUGUUAAUAAGAACGCUGGAACUUUGAAAUCUUAAGUGUUAUAUAUAGUGUUAUAAAGGAUUGGUUGUGCAUGUAUAAUCCUUUAAAUAUAAACCAUUGACUAAAUCUGGGACUAAGUCUGGAUCCAGCUGCAGCUAAACUCCUCUCUGAGGAGGAGUUUAGAGCACAAGGGUGUCCUUUCUGAACCUGAUGAGUCAACAGGAGGAUCUCCCUUGUAAUUUUGUCUGACCCUGCCUUCUCUGCAGUAAACAAGUGUACCUGGCUGUAGAAUCUCAUGAAACCACUGUUGCAUUUACUGUCAAAUUUACUGUUAAACUGAUGAUUUAUAUCAAUAAACAUAGUGCUGCUCUUCUCUUCUGAAUGAAAUGCAUCACUCCGUGACACUCGGUUUUUGUAAGGGAAAAGCUGGAGGCCGCAGAGGGGGUCACAGACCCUUGCUACAGAAAAAGGACCAUAGAGUUGAGAAGAGCUUGUGACAAAAUUGCCAAAUCAGUGUAAACACAUUUCUCCUUUCUUCUGAUGGGAUAGAGACUGGCCAAAUCACUGACUUAAUAUAACUGUAAAGCAGUACUAGAAUUGCUGACUUGGCAUUAGUGUAUUUACAUAAAUUGCUGAUUUAACAUCUGGUGGACCGCAGGGUUGAUGUUGUUAAAAGCACUGUGGUUAAAACAGCUGCAGAAUAAGGGUGAAGUGAUCAGUUACCUCUGGGUGAGGCUGGGGAACUCUCUCCUCAGGAAGGCAGCUGCAGGAUGCAGAUGGAGUGGCAGACUGCCUUUGGGAUGGGUUCAGAGAUGACUCCCCAGGGAUGAUGAGCAAUCUGGCUGCAUAAAUGAGGAAAUACAGAAGGUCACAGGUCACCAAAACUGAAAGGAUAAAAAGCAAAAUCAAGGACCUAGAGGUAGGCUCAGCAGAAUAGGAUCAGGAUUGAAGAUCCCACUGAGAAUUCAUAGCUACGAAGGCAAACAUUUUCUCUAGACCAUCUUGAUGCAUGAGGCCUGUCUGCAUUGUCUCACUGCUCUCUGCUGUAAAAUCAACUUGCAAUGUGCCUGUGCUUGUGCCCAAGGUCUUCUUGUGUGUCCUUGAAGAGGUCGUUUUGGUCGGACUAACAGUAAAGGUAACCCUGGCAUGAAAAAAUUGACUAUCACUUCUCCAGCACUAGCUGUUUGGGUUUUUUUUUUUUCCCAGUGUACAAAUUAGAGUUUUUGGAUUAUCACUGUAGCUGUAGUGUGAAGGACCACUGAAAGCUGUGACUGAAUCCCCAACCUGGAUUUACACCACAAGAAAAAGAAAAUUGAAGCAAAACUGUAUGUUGAUAAAAAUCAGUUCAAACUAGGUUAAUGUAAAUAAAGUGCUAUACAUAUGUAAUAUAAUUUUUAUGACAACACUGUUUUGAAAAUGUGUCAGUAUAGAGGCAAGAUAUAAGUUAAUAGGUGUACAAACCUCAGUUGCCAUGAUUAUUAGCCUUGCAUUAAGCUGGUGGACAUGAUUUUUAUUGCUUUAUUGCUCUCAAAUAUCUUUAAUUUUUCAGGACACUACACAUUUUCACACCAAAGUUGUGUGUUUCACACCAGUCCUUUGUUGCUCUCUGUCUCUUUCUUGCAAUAGUAAUGGUUUUUGAGUCACAGGUUACCGUGACGUCUUCUCACUGGGGCACGAGGUACCCCCUGCUCUGGGGUGUACGAACCAUCUGAUUUCUGGCUGUGGAGCUAAGAAACUUGUCCUUCUAUGGGAUAACAUGAAAUUCCAUGGGUGAGAAUGGAUGGAUGUUCCCUGGCCUUUGGAUCGGGCGUCUGUGUGGAGAAGCACUUAAAAUCAAGAUGUCUCUGGGUCUUCUUUUUCUUCUAAAUUAACAGUAUAUUGUAAUUUCAUAAACAAUUAUUUCAAUCUCUUCUCAAACACAGUAUUAUUUAUCAUUAAAGUCUGCUUUGAACAUAAAA